UUAUGGCCGUAUCACGUUGAAACACCGGUUCUCCUACGAUCACCGAAGUUAAGCAACGUCGAGCAUGGUCAAUACCUAGAUAAGUGAGCGCUUGGGAACGCCAGAUUCUGUA